rnacentral:rRNA from 1 species
AUUGAACGCUGGCGGCAGGCCUAACACAUGCAAGUCGAGCGAGCGGCGGACGGGUGAGUAAUGUCUGGGAAACUGCCUGAUGGAGGGGGAUAACUACUGGAAACGGUAGCUAAUACCGCAUACCAUCAGAUGUGCCCAGAUGGGAUUAUCUAGUAGGUGGGGGAACGGCUCACCUAGGCGACGUUCCCUAGCUGGUCUGCGAGGGUGACCAGCCCAACUGGAACUGAGACACGGUCCAGACCCCGACGGGGGGCAGCAGGGGGGAAUGUUGCAAAAGGGGCGCAAGCCUGAUGCAGCCAUGCCGCGUGUGUGAAGAAGGCCUUCGGGUUGUAAAGCACUUUCAGCGGGGAGGCGUUACCCGCAGAAGAAGCACCGGCUAACUCCGUGCCAGCACCGCGGUAAUUC